UAGUACUCCCUCCGUUCCAAA
rnacentral:miRNA from 1 species